rnacentral:sRNA from 1 species
UUCGAACCAUAGAGAGCUUUGCUGAGUCUCAGAAAUCUUAUUAUUGCAAAGCGCCAUUGCACCGGCGUCCCAAAGGUCACGGCUGAUCACUGAUCACUCUCUGGUCCUUUUCUUUAUCGUGUAAUUCUGUCAUCGGGUCUCCUAUACGCCCGUCUAAAAGGGUCUACACUCACUGGAGGAGGUCCAUCAUCCUCUGACGACGAAUCACUGCUUCCAUCAUCACUGCUGAAGUACCCAGGGACAACGUCUCCCCUUUUCUUAGCUUCGCAAGAAAAGACGAGUUUUCAGUGUCGCGAAUUUCUUCUACAUCACUACUAUCUUCACUACCAGAACUGCAAGGAGAAGAAUGGCCCCGACCAUAGACAUUGUCGGGUGCGGAGGGAGGAGCAGGCUGAAAGACAUACCCGCCAAGGACAUAUUCGGGGGUAGCUUUGCCUUUCUUGUUCACGAUGUUCCCGAUUUGAUCGAAAAAUGGAAACUUCUUUGUGCGGUAAUUUUCAUUGAUGGAUGAGCCUGUACGAAUAUCGAGACUUCAGUUGGUACCGUGACCAGCUCAAAUGUACCCACCUCUUUGUAGCGAUCCCAAACAUCAUCUGUAACGUCAAGGCCAUGCCGAGACGAAUCCAACCCCAACCAGAGGAGUUCUUAUUGUUCCUCAAGUCCUUCAAGAUGAAAGACUCCUUUGUCAAUCUUUGCCACACGCCCUUUAGAGCCCGCGCAUCGCGAAGAGGGAGAUUCUAGUGUAUGAUACAUUAAGUAAUUGUCAGCAGCACAAAAUGACAGAAGAUGAGAAUUUAACACUGGACUUGCUUGAAGAGAUAUUUUGUCAUCAGCAAUACAUAGUCAACAACGGUGUGCGUCCUCAUAGGUGCGAAAUGCUAUUAUCCAAUAUCCC